UACGUAGGGCGCAAGCGUUUAUCCGGAAUUAUUGGGCGUAAAGAGCUCGUAGGCGGUUUGUCGCGUCUGCCGUGAAAGUCCGGGGCUCAACUCCGGAUCUGCGGUGGGUACGGGCAGACUAGAGUGAUGUAGGGGAGACUGGAAUUCCUGGUGUAGCGGUGAAAUGCGCAGAUAUCAGGAGGAACACCCGUAGCGAAGGCGGCACUCUGGGCCGAUACUGACACUGAGGAGCGAAAGCGUGGGGAGCGAACAGG
rnacentral:rRNA from 1 species